AUCACUUUCUAUGUAUUUGUGCUUGGUCUUCAGCAAUUGGCUGAGACGAAGUGUAGUAGCUGUUCUUAUCUUAUCUGAUACAUCCUCUAGCCGGGGACCGUAUAUUAAAUUGAUUUUAGGACCUGCAGAUGGUACAGGUCAACUCCAUGCAUUGACUUGGUAUUGUAGCCUCUCUAGGAACAUUGCACCUCCC